rnacentral:rRNA from 1 species
UACGGAGGGUGCGAGCGUUGUCCGGAAUCACUGGGCGUGAAGGGCGCGUAGGUGGCGCGGGAAGUCAACGGUGAAAGUUCGGGGCUCAACCCUGAAUCGGCCGUCGAUACUCCCGGGCUCGAGCACUGUAGAGGCAGAUGGAAUUCCGGGUGUAGCGGUGGAAUGCGUAGAGAUCCGGAAGAACACCGGUGGCGAAGGCGGUCUGCUGGGCAGUUGCUGACACUGAGGCGCGACAGCGUGGGGAGCAAACAGG